UACGUAGGGUGCAAGCGUUAAUCGGAAUUACUGGGCGUAAAGCGUGCGCAGGCGGUUUUGUAAGUCAGAUGUGAAAUCCCCGGGCUUAACCUGGGAACUGCGUUUGAAACUACAAGGCUAGAGUGUGACAGAGGGGGGUGGAAUUCCACGUGUAGCAGUGAAAUGCGUAGAGAUGUGGAGGAACACCGAUGGCGAAGGCAGCCCCCUGGGUUAACACUGACGCUCAUGCACGAAAGCGUGGGGAGCAAACAGG
rnacentral:rRNA from 1 species